UGGCGCGGAACUUAUACUAAUUUUGAUUUGCCCCUUAAAUCCGAAUAAAAUUACGUACUUCCGCCAUGUCGCUCAAUUUCAACGAGGCACUUAAAUUGCUCAUGGAAAACCUAUCCAAGAAUCCAACGCCUUAGCAACAAAAACAAAUGCUGGAUGCAACCGAAGUAGCUGAGCACAUAAGCGGGGGAUUCACCAAAAUCAAUUCUAUUUUCAAGGGCUUCAUUAGUAACUGGGGCGAGACAGCUUUAUUUUACAAUAAUUCUUACCCUAAACCUGCGAGUUUCCUCCUUCAUCUUAAAAUGCCAUUUGAUAUAACAUCUCAGCGAGUUUUCAUUGAUGAUGGCGGCCUAUGGGUUGUCAAUCUGAAAACGACGGCUAGUCAUCCAGCAGUGAAAAAUGGAUAUUUAAACGGCGAACUACUGAUCACUUUGUUUUAUUCGGAUUUAAUGAAAGUUAUCAACCAAAAUGCGCAGGUGCAAAGCAAAAGUGGAAAAUCCUUCCGCCUUACCUGUUGUAUAAACACGUAUUACACUUUCGAGAUUGCAGCUUGGGAUUCCGCAAUGGAAAAUGUGGAAUUUGAGUAUAGAUUUCUUCUAGAAUUGUAUUUUCCCAACAUUCCUACGCCAUUCAUAUCGAUGGAUACUUUAUUUAUGGAAAACAAGAAGACUGACAAACAGAAACAAGUUAGAAGCAUUCACGCGACCAUACACACUGUAAUGAUACAACUGAAUUUGUAUUCAUCUUUGUCAAUCCCAGUUUUAGGUGAGAUUUUGGAUUCAGUUGACUUUGUAGCAGCACCAAACGCUGGCGAAACUUUGUUAAAGGUUUUACCAAAAGUAAUUCUAAAGUUACAAAAUCCACAACCAUUGAAAUCUGUUUUCAAAAAGUUAUUGCAAUUUAAGCAAUCGGACUCGGUGGAGACGUCAGAGCUGAAGGAACUGCUUAACUUCCAAUAAUAUGAAAAUUUGUCUUGAAGAUAUUACACAAACCUAUUAUCGCUAGGAAAUUACAUUUAAAUGGAACAAAAAAGGAGAGAAUUACAAAAAUAUUUUAUGAAUUUGACAUGCAACUGCGUGAAAGGGCAUUAACUAUGACACUCCAAGAUCAGAGGGAUGAGUUAAGAAACAAACUAUGUAUUAUUUUAAAAUUAAAAUUUAACUGCCUUAUGUGGACAAUAAAUAUUUUGCAGACGAUGAAAUACAACCGACGGACUCCCAGCUUUAAGCUAAAAAAGCUCUUUUCAAAAACUUGUGGACAGUU